CCUGUCAGUGGACACAAACCAAUAUUUUUUAUUACACAGAGGAUUCAUCUCAUGUUACCAUAGGUUCGAAUCACACUUGAGAGCUCACAUCUACCUGUUUGAACACAUCCUAACUGGAAAUGAUUUACUACUAAAGAAAAGGAUCACUCAUUUUUUGUUGUGCCCCCACCUUGUUUGCAAGUUAAUGCACAAGGCAGACCUUAGGCAGCCUUAAUUUAGUUUGCUGUCUUAGCUCUUGAAUCCCUCAUCUGUACACUGCCAUUCAGCACAGCAGGGGUGUCAGGUUUCCAGACCAGAACAACUCCAGUCCUUCUAAUUAUUGAAUGAACUUUGUCUAUUGCUUUCACUGUGGUAAUGGAGCCCACAGGGAGCAAUGAUCAGGUCUGAGGUAUAAUGAAGGUCACUCUCAUCAAGAUACUUAUUUCUUUAGAUUAAUAAGAAGGCAGAAAAACACCUAUUCUGAGCUGUAAAAACACUUUGUUGUUGUAUAAGUUACAACCAGCAGAUUAAACUGUAUCACAUGAAGAAACAGUAAGAACUUCUCAAAUGGAAAAUGAAGAAAAAUGCAUCUUCUGCACUGCACGUUACUCAUUAGACUCCCCAAAGUCUCAUUUUACCACUAGUAUAUCCCUGCUGAGAUGAUUGGCAUGCAACUAGUGGCGUGGGAUAGCUGCUUAGAGUUUCCUAGGUUUCCCAGGUACAAGCAUAGAUAAGCAGCCACACAAGUUAGAAAGACAAACACAGGAUAAAGAGAAAAUCUUUGGGAAUCACAUUUGCUCUAGCUUAGUCAGGCGGGGUAGCUAAAUCACCUACAUAAAACAUGGCUGCAUUUGCUGUCUAGACAAAGUUAAGAUAGCUGAAAAGGUAGUUUCUUUCUUAAGGAAGAGAUGUGUUUGUGGAAGAUACUGUUGAGAUAACCCUGGUGGAUGAAGUCUCCCCUUUACCCACAGAGUGGAGAGCACACAUGGAGCAAGGGGCAAUCCAGAGACUCCUGUGCUACGGGGGACCUCUACAGUCAUAAACUCCAAGCUAUGGGCUGUUAAUCACAAAACCUAACAGGAAUAUUGGGGUAGGGAAAGAGAUUGGGUUUUAAAUACGGGGGGAAAAUUCACAGAGAAUGUUACAUUUCGAAUAGCUAAGACUAAGAAGCAGCUUCGUGUUAAGGAUACAUUCAACUUUAACCUUCAAAUGCCUUCAAAAAACAGCAGGUCACACUGCCAGUUAGUGCUGCAAAUCUAAGCACCAUUUGUGGGACUAUUGCAGCUGAUACCAAGGUGACUUUUGUUUUAAGUCAAUAUGCUUUAACAAACUCCUCUAAUGCAAACAAACAAACAAGAAAGCCAACCAACCACUAAUAAUCUCUGCAAGUAAAAUGUCAUUCCAAGAAAGUCAAAAUGGUCUUUGUGAAUGAAGUUUUCUUUAAUAAUAUUAAAGACAUAACAUGCCUCUAAGGUUGGAUAUGAAUGUGGCACAUGGCCAUAAAAUUGAUUCUGUUUUCUUUUGUUUUGGUUCUUCGGGGCUCUAUAUAAUUAUUCUUUCCUCUUACCCAGAAUGAACGAGGACAAGGAAGUCCUUUGUACUUUCUAAUUAAUUGUAAAAUACACAAGUAAAACCUGGCACAACCUUUCAAUUCUUGGAGGCUCAUAAAUAAACUACAACUUCCCCACUGAAGGAUUCACAGUAGCACUGAAGAAUCUUUGAAGGACCAGGCUUUCUUCCAGAGAGGGUAUCUCAUGAUGCAACUAGAUGGAGUCUGCUCACACCAGAGACCAAGGGGCACAGUCUUCCCAAAUCCUUAAUAUACAGAGACGUGCUCAACUGGCUGCUGGAAACCUGCUCUAAUGGCAGGACCCCAAUAUCUGGGAACUUCUGUGUUCUUCCAAAGUGGUAUGAAGAAGGUGUAACAGACACCACGAUACUCUUCCAGUGUGUUCAGGCAUAUUGCAGGCAAAGGUACACAGCUGAAUUUCCAUCAGAGUGAAUGGCACUGUCCUCCUGGCUAACUUCUAAAUACGGAAGAAGCAUAAUCUUGAUCUCCCAUGGUUUGUUCUGGAUUUGCAUUUAUAUGUAGGGACCACCACUGCCAUGCUGUAUCUUGU